GGGGAAUAUUGCGCAAUGGCCGCAAGGCUGACGCAGCGACGCCGCGUGGGGGAUGAAGCAUUUCGGUGUGUAAACCCCUGUUGCCCGGGACGAACCUCUCCUUUCGAGGAGACUGACGGUACCGGGUGAGGAAGCACCGGCUAACUCCGUGCCAGCAGCCGCGGUAAUACGGAGGGUGCGAGCGUUGUCCGGAAUCACUGGGCGUAAAGGGCGCGUAGGCGGUGACUUAAGCGUGUGGUGAAAGCCCGGGGCUCAACCCCGGGUCGGCCGUGCGAACUGGGUCACUUGAGCACUGUAGAGGCAGGUGGAAUUCCGGGUGUAGCGGUGGAAUGCGUAGAGAUCCGGAAGAACACCAGUGGCGAAGGCGGCCUGCUGGGCAGUAGCUGACGCUGAGGCGCGACAGCGUGGGGAGCAAAC
rnacentral:rRNA from 1 species